UGGGGAAUAUUGCACAAUGGGCGCAAGCCUGAUGCAGCCAUGCCGCGUGUGUGAAGAAGGCCUUCGGGUUGUAAAGCACUUUCAGCGAGGAGGAAGGGUAGUGUGUUAAUAGCACAUUGCAUUGACGUUACUCGCAGAAGAAGCACCGGCUAACUCCGUGCCAGCAGCCGCGGUAAUACGGAGGGAGCAAGCGUUAAUCGGAAUUACUGGGCGUAAAGCGCAUGCAGGCGGUUUGUUAAGUCAGAUGUGAAAUCCCCGCGCUUAACGUGGGAACUGCAUUUGAAACUGGCAAGCUAGAGUCUUGUAGAGGGGGGUAGAAUUCCAGGUGUAGCGGUGAAAUGCGUAGAGAUCUGGAGGAAUACCGGUGGCGAAGGCGGCCCCCUGGACAAAGACUGACGCUCAGGUGCGAAAGCGUGGGGAGCAAACA
rnacentral:rRNA from 1 species